ensembl:lncRNA
CACGCACUAGGUGGUUGAACAGAGUUCCAUGCUGAUGGAAACAUUCAGUACCUGCACUGUCCGAUGGUGUAGCCCCCGGUCACGUGACUGCCUUACAUCUUUACAUUGUAUCCGGGUGGAGGAGUCCAGUCAGGAGAGAAGCGCGGGGCCUGGCAUCAUGCCAGCAUGGCGAGCCUCGUCUCAGCCCCUGCUCUCGGGCCCACGGUGAGCGGGCCGCGCGCUCUCUUCUCCACAGCGGCCGAGACAGGCCUGCGAGGAACGGGCUUGGCCUCGUGGACUUCGCAGCAGAACAAAGGGAAGGCAAGUGGCGUCAUCCUCACCAGCCUCUCACAGGAUCAACUUGUACUUUUUUUUUUAAUCUUUAUUUUUGAAAGGACAAACUAUUAAAAGUAAAACAAAUGAAAUCAUGUGAGAUCAAGAUACAAAGACAGAAAUUCAGUGUAGAAAAAAGGACCUUGCUGGGAGCCAGUCGAUGAGAAGCACAGGAAACAUCUCACAGACACAUAAGCUCACGCUAUAAAGAGGACUGAGCUGCGGGGGCUCCCCAUCACAUCAGGGUUUCAUUUUGCUCAGCCUGAGAUCUCGCUCGAUUUCAAACUGCCUGUGAUCCACUCGGUCUAGAAAAGCUUUUCGUUCGAUGUACCUGGAAGAAAAUAAAGAUGCCCGUCAGCAGACUGAGUAGGAUAAAAUGCCUCCCAGGCAGCAUCCCCUCUCCCCGUGGGGAAGGGCCCACCUGGCCUGGGGCUCAGCGGGCGACAGCAAAUGCAAGCAGGUGACCACAGGCAGAGGGGCCGCUGUUACUCUUUCAGUAACAUCCAGACCACUCAUUUGGUCUAAACAAGGAACUUUCUGGUUCAGAGGUGAAUAAAAGUAAAAUGAAAAAGAGAAAGCAACAACUUAUCAAGGGGAAGUACAUUAGCAACUGGGGGCAGGAAAACGUGAUUGUGUAGCCAGGUUUAAAGGGAAGAGCGGGGCUCAGUCAGGCCCGGGUUCGGAGCCUGACCUGGUUACACAGCAGCUGACCGUGGCGCGCGCUCACUGUCCGGGCACCUGCCUGCUGGCGGCCCUCCCUUCCCCCACCGUCCUCCUCUCCGUGUCCUCCACCCACGUGGGGCCAGGGCACUCUCGUGGGGAUGACCGAGGAGGCUUCCCUGAAUUCCUCCAAGGGAAUGAGGUCAAGUGCCUCUGCGCCCAUGGCCCACAUACUCAGGGUGCCCUCAAGGCGGGCGGCCUGCCCCUCGGCCUGCCAGGCACGGUGGGAGGGAAGCCCCAGGCUGAAGGUGGCAGGCACCGCGGGGAGUGAGGGAGUGAGCGGUGGGAUACAGCUCCAUUUGCCUUGCGGGGAGGGGCUCUCUGCCAAGUAAUCUACUGAGAGAGCAAAAUUGCCACUGAAAAUGGGAGACAUAAUUGAAUCUCUGUGCUAAUCUCUCCUUUGUUGCACUGCAGAAAAUGUGCAUCUGUGAGUACAAG